GGCCUGUACACGCCUCUGCCGCCCCACUUGCUGCAGUCGGAGCACAGUAUCGAGCCGUGCCUGGUGCUGCCCAGUCGGCGGCCAGUCACCCAACAGGUGGGCUGCGUCACGACGUCCCGGAACUCACUGCGUCAAGGAAAGCUGGGCGUCACGCCCGUGACGAUGGACGGCGAGGGGGACGUUAUGUGGAUCACCGAAAUCGAACAGAUGUUUGGCCUGCCGCGCCACUACACGGACCUGGGCAGCCUCGGCCCGCCGAAGCGACAGCAGCUGUUGGGCAGGGCCUGGAGUGUGCCCGUCAUCAGGCACAUUCUGCACAGCCUGACACCCUUCUUCGCGACGGCAGACGGAGGGACAGAGAGGGCCUAGUGGCCUGAAAGGCCGGAGAUCUGUUGGUGAGAGAUCCUCUGGCGUGAGGGGCACUUAGUGCUGAGUUACAGUGAUGUGUUGGUAUAAGUGGCUAUUCCAGAGAGCUAGCUAUUCGGUUGUAACAGUUUUGUCCCUUGUCAUACUCAUGUAUAUGCGCUGUGCCUGUUUUGCUUGUUGAUGUUCAAGCAGCAUCAGAGUCCAAAAUGUUUCGUCUGUGAUAACCUGGGUGCUGUAGUGACCAACCAUUGUGGUUCAGCUUCGCUGACUUUUUGUUGUGUGUUGCGUUGUAAUGCUCCCUUUUCACCAUGUGAUUUUGAUCUUCUGUCACUGAUCUCGACAAUGAAUGGUGCUAGUCGUGACCUGUUUCAUAAGCGUAUUUUUUUGCAUGUUUCGAUGUUCAAAUUGUUUAUCUCUAUGGCACGCCCAAUGUUCACUGGUUACCUAUGUGUGUAUUUGUUAUGUAACCAGUCAGCUGGUUCACCGAAAGCUAGUCGUAGCGGUGUUGUGUAGCGGUGUAGCGAUGUUAAUUGAACGUAGCGGUGCAGCCUUCUGUGAAAACCAGGAGUCAACUUCCGCUAGCGAUAUAUGAGCGUCUGUGUCGAGCGUAAGCUAUUGGUUUAGCCAAGUGAUUGUGCUUUUUGAACUCUUCAUAAUCUUCCAAUGCAACCGAUGUCAGAUCUCUUGUUUUUUUUUUUAAGAACUUAGAUGGUAGCUCGGAAACCCUUUGCUUCUGCAGCAUUGCUAUGAACAGGAUAUUAAGCUCAAUGCACAGU